UCACUAAGAACAUAAAUAAUAUAUAUACAUCUGACUCGAGCAAUCCAACAAUAAACGCCUUGAGAGAGAUAGAGAGGGAUAAGUCAGCUAACAGAGAGAGAUACGGCUAAUUCUGAAGAACGACGAGGACCGAAGGAGAGAUGAGGCAAAACAACCUUAGAGACUCUUUAUUAGAAAGGACUUGAAGAUCAAGUGCCCAAAUAACUAAGGUCAUAGUUUCUUAUAAGGUUUCUUCUCUUAAUAUAAUUAUAUAUGUUCCUCAUAGAACAAUCAGGGGCUUACCUUAUGUCUUUAGCAGCAUCUCCCAUAUUAACUCUAGCAUAUAGCACCAGGGAGUUGGUCUGAUUCACAUCUUUGUAAACGUCUGUGCUACCAAUAUGUCGCAACUCAAGCGCAGAAAUGAAAGGAGUACCAGAAUUAAUGUUGACCAAACACACUGAGAAAGAAUUGUUCUGAGCAACAGUGAUAAUCUCCUCCCAGAAUGGAUACGAUGGCUCAGUAAUAUUCAUUAGUUGCCAAAAGUUCAUCCCAAGAUGGAGUUCGAAUACAACCGAGGUCAGUCCAUCAUAAUUGCCAUGAAAGAACAAACCUCGUAUCAGGUAUUUAUCUCCUUGGAUUAUUCCGUUGAUCGUGUAGCAAUUGCGAGAUCCAUUAGGGAAGCUUCGCAGCGUCUCGGCCUGCACUGGAGUAUCUUCUUGUAAGUAUUUCUUGUUGAUUUUGUAGUUUACGCCCGAGUUGAUAUAUUUCGCGUCUGGUUCGUAUGUGAUUCCCGUGACGGUAUCAUUGUAACUCGUAGAUCCAUCCAUGCCACAGUCUAUGCUCACAAAACCUGUAGAAAGAAUAAUACAGAAAUAUUAAGAUGAUUUACCUAUAAAAUUCUACUGUGCUUUGAUGUAAAGUUGGGAGGAUGGGAACACUUGCUGCGCACCUUGUUGGGCAUUAACCUGCAGAGCUACCGCCAAGAAACCUAGAAAAAUAAGAGACCUCAUCUUGUGUACUGGCUUGCAGGAGUAACCAGCCAUGGUUCAAGCUGUGUCUACUUAUAGAUAGGGUGACUCACUUGCUGCGAAACUUCUGAUGUAUAAACAUCAGAAUGCGACUGCCACAAAAACAUGAGAGUGCAAGCACAGGCUACCGUUCAAAGAAAGAGAACCCGUCAACAGUCUCUCCAACCACCCCCACCCAUGAUUAAGAAACGUCCUUCUUUCCACCUGAAGAGCUUGAUGAUAUCUUGCUUUUGUAGCGCCCUGUAACAGUGCGUUAAAUGGCACCAAAUGAGUGCUUUCGAUUGGCGUACUUCUCUAUACUUCUCAUUGUUUGUUCCGACUUAAAACUUCGAUCAUACUGAUAUAAGCAUCCUUGUUUCUCUUCCAAGUUGGAAGAUCCAUCGACCGGAGACACCAUGUGAUUGAUAGAAUGUAGGAAUUAGGACGUCUUUCCUUGAUGUUUGAUAAUUAUGUGCAAAAAAUAUAUUUAUUCAAUAAUAUCUUCAAAAGAGUCAUAUAUUUUCUUAUAUAAGAGUAAGCAAAACAGAGUGAAGUUGGACAAAAAAAGUUUCUUAGAAUACUUUCCAAAUGAUAAGAGGGAUAUCAAUAAAAUAACACAGCUAAGAUAAAACACAUCAACAAUUUAAAGAUGUUGUUAUUGUGUCCCCAAAACAUCUUUAUAAGCCUCAAUUACAAUGUUGUUGAGAUAAAGAUAAUAUAUUGACAUAUUAUCGUAGUGUCUCAUGCUUGGACUUUGUCAUUUACUCUAAGAAAUCUAAAUUUGGAGUCUCCUAGUUGACUCAUAUGAUAUUCCAAGAUUUAUGAAUAGAUCAUGUUAGGACAUUAUAAAAUAUCAUCCUCAGAAGAGAUAUGAUUUCAAAAAAGAUGAGAAAGACACUCCGUCAUUUUACGUAGAAGAUAUGUAUUCACUGAAAAAAUAACAAAGAAAAAUACUACUCUAAAUCACUAUCAUUUACCUGAUCUUUGAAACAGUGGCUUUUUCCACAGCUUUAUAUCCAUGUCAAUCUUUAUGGGAGGAUAUAGAGAUUUAAUCGGGGCUUUCAAAUAUUUGUAAUAAUACUUUUAGAAAAAAAAUAAAUCUAAAAAUUUAAUGAUCUAAUGCGGAGCAAGCCCAAUAAAUUUAUGCAGUUAUAACAAUUCCUAUUAUUAUUUUUAGUAUAAUUAUCAGACAUUAAAUGCAUCAUCAAUCAAUGACUCGUCGUUCCAAGGGACUAAUUUCAUCACUGUAAAACGAAAAAACUUGUGGGGGUUUAUUGACUAUAAAAGAAUAUAAAUAGAAAUAUACUCAAAAUCACUAUCAUUGACUUGACCCACUUACUUUGUCUAUUCUAUGAAAAAAUAAUCAAAGAAAAAAAAAACCGCUUAAAUCACUAACAUGUACUUAAUGUUUGAAAGAAGUCAAGAAAUUUAUCAACAAAAGACAUCACUUUAAUGAAUUUUGAUAAAUAUUUAAAAUAUCACACAUAUUGCUAGAAAUGAUAUAUGGAGUGGUUGUUUCCAUAGCUUACAUCCACAUCAAUCAUUAACCAAAGGACGUAGAGAUUUAGAUAGAGUUUGAAAUAGUCAUAGCAUGUUCGUGUAAAAGGGGAAAAUUUAUGAAGGUUCAUUGACUAUAUAAAAAUAUAAAGAGAAAUAUACUCAAAAUCACUAUCAUUAACUUGACCCACUUACUUUGUCUAUUCUAUGAAAGAAUAUACUUAAUGUUCGAAAGAAGUCAAGAAAUUUACCAACAAAAACAUCACUUUAAUGAUUUUUGAUAAAUAUUUAAAAUAUCACACGUUGUUUUCAUAGCUUACAUCCACAUCAAUCAUUAACCAAAGGAUGUAGAGAUUUAGAUAGAGUUUGAAAUAUUCAUAGCAUAUGUUGUAUCACAAACCAAACCGUGUCAUGAAUCAUUAACAGAAGGAUUAAUUUCACCGUGUAAAAUGGGAAAACUUGUCGAGGUGUAGAAAAAUAUAAAAAGAAAUAUCAUUGACUUGACCCACUUUCUUUGUCUAUUCUAUAAAAGAAUAACCAAAGAAAAAAAUCCACUUAAAUCACUUUCAUUUUACUUUCGUUUACUUGAUCAAACGAAUGUACACAAUGUUCCAAAGAAAUUUAUCAGAUGUCACUUUUAUGAUUUUUGAUAAAUAUUUGAAAUGUCACACACGUUGUUGGAAGAUGUACAUGGAGUGGUUGUUUUCAUAGCUUACAUCCACAUCAAUUAUUAACCAAAAGAUGUAAAGAUUUAAAGAGAGUUUGAAAUAGUCGUAACCAUGCCAAAAGUUCAUCCUUAGGUAUGAAGUUUGCAUAUGCUCACCAUCACAUGGAUUGAAUUAUUGGACUCAAUAUUCCAACCUACUAAUUAACUUUAUUUUUUGAGAUUGUAAGACCAAUGACCUACGUAUGCUAAAAGAAAUAACGCAAAUGUAAUUGUAAUGAUUAUAUUAUGUAUAUAUUAUUAUUAUUAAUUUAGAUUUAAGUAUAUUGGAUCAAUCAAGGAGAUAUAUUGACCCAUCAACUUGGAUCGAUCUAGAAGGGAUCAUGUAUUUCUUAGAACUUUUAACUAAUAUUUACGUGAUUGAAUUACGCUAUAAUUUGGGUUGUGAAAAUGUGACAAUAUUUGUAUUAUGAUAUUGUUAUUUAGGACGUUCGCGGAGGGCAGAAUAGAGUGAAAUCUUUUACAUAAAAUGAAGAGUUUAUUAUAGAAAAGCAAUGACGAGUGCCUCGACAACCGAAAGCUUGGGAAAGCAAUUCUGCAUGGAAGAUUGGCAGCAAAAGAACACCAUACAUGUUUGUCGAAAAAUACUCGUCCCUUAUGUACUACUUUAUAAGCAGAGAACACAUAUCUCGAUGAACUAAGCUUUUGAGGUAAGAGAAGGAAGGUAGCAUCGAAGAGGAAUCCAUAUAAGUCCUACAAAAACUAAAAUCAUGUGACCAGCGUCUUAUGAAAAGAAAAUAUACGCAAUCAUGUGUUUCUAUUGAAAGUUGCAUGAUGUUGUUGUAUUUGAGUUCACUUCCUUCUAUGAAGAGCCACAAGUGAUCUUCGAGGAGUAAUGCAUCAAAAUAAAUACCCAACGAAGGAAAAAAGCCUUUCAACGUGCUAAAAUUGUCAAAGCUGCUUAGUAUGAUUCCCGAAAGAUGAUUAUUCGAGAGAUCCACUAUCCUAAGAGAUAUCUCUAAGAUGAGAUAACUGACGAAUGCUACCAGUAUGGCAGGCUUUCUUCGAUCCAAUGUGGUAUACUGUCGACAAAGGCCAAAUCAAGAGUACCCAAUUCGAUAAAGUUUCAGAGGGAUUUGCCUCAUAAAAUUAUUAUAGUUCAGAUGUAGUGGCUUUAGACUUUGUAAAUUGUUGAGGGAGUCGAGAAUUCCUCCUUGUAAUUUGUUGCUUGAUAAAUCUAACAUAACAAGAAGAGAAGGGGAUGCCACCACUCGUAUUAUUCAUAGACAUAUCAAACCAUUGGAAGCUUGAUGUGAUUAGGACUUCAAAAUCAAGAAUUUUGCAUGAUCACUGAACCAGUGAGGAACCAGGGAGUUGGUCUGAUUCACAUCCCUGAAAACAUCUGUGCUACUAAUUUGUCUCACCUCAAGCGCAGAAACGAAAGGUGUACCAGAAUUAGUGUUAACCAGACAAACCGAGAAAUAAUCCUCCUGAGCGACAGUGAUGAUCUCGGCCUGAAGUAGAUCUGAAGCACCAGUGAUGUUCACUGAUUGCCAAAAGUUCACCUCAAGAUGAAGGUCAAAUACAAUCGGAGGUAGUUCAUCGUAAUUGCCAUGUAACAACAAAGCUCGUAUGAGGUACUUUUCUCCCUGCUUUAUUCCGCCGAUGGUGUAACAAUUGCGAGAUCCAUUCGGGAAGCUUCGUAGUGUCUCGGCCAGCGCUGAAGCAGUAGUAGUUUCCAUGCAAGUCUUAGAAAUUUUGUGAUUCGCUCCCGAGUCAGAUGUAUUUGGCGUCCGGAACGUAUAUGAUGGCGGUGGCGGUGUCGUUGUAACUCGUAUCUCCUUCCAUGCCACAGUCUAUGAAGCUUGUGGAAUGAUACAUAGAAGAUUAGGAUGACCCUUCGGCAAGAUGACACGCACAAAUCGAGAAAUGAUCCUAAUUUUUUUUAAAGCAAAAGCUAGAAAACAAUUACAAAAUUUGAUCUUCUAUUCAUAUAGAGAAGUUAAAGGUUUUGACUUUUUCAAUCACACAAAUAUCUCAUUUUGUUUUGAGUUAUUAUCAGUGCAUGUUCUUUUUUAAUGUCCAAAAUACUCUCAAAAGUUGCCAAAUAGAGAGAGAGAGAGAGAGAGAGAGAGAGAGGUUAAAUACAUAUAUGCUUGCCUGCAACGUGAUUGUAUAAACUUGUGCAUGAGAUCAUAAAUACGUGGUCUUUCUCAGUUAAGCAAAUGCAAACUGUUUUGUUAAUUGGAUUUCUCAGCAAAACAAAAUGGAGGUAGACUAAGUCUACCUCUAUUGACUUCGAUAAUAAACUUCAUAGAAGAAUUGGUUUGUGUUCUCCUCUCAUAUGUAUUUCUAACAAUAAAAUUUUCUUCAAGAGUAUCAAUGUUUUCAAAGAAACAUUUCUGAAGUCCUUUUAUAGUACUUCCUCUUAAUUUAUGGACCUAAUUGUAAAUGUAAAACUUAAAGAGGACUAAUAUGCAAAAGAGAUAACAAGGUUAUUUUUUAAUUGCCCUUCAAAUUGAUAAAGAAAUUGUCAUUCCUUUGAUUUGGUAGUGAUAACCAUUUGUAUUAGCAUCAUUUAAAUUUAAUUUAUUUUGAAUAUAUGUUAAUUGGAUUGGGAUGUAUAUCAUUAAAUUUAUUAAACAUAUUAUAUAUACUUCAUGAGCCAAUUGAUUGUAAGUUUUGAUAAAGGGUCUCACAUGUAGACAAUCCAAUUACAUGUCAUAUCUAAUCGGAUGCCUAGUCAGUCCACCAUACUUGACCAACCAAUUAGUCAUCUCGUUACUCUCCCUAUAUAAAUGAGAAAGACUACAUCCAUCAAAACAAUCUUACAAGGCUCAAAUAUAUAAAAUAAUAUUUUUAAUGAAUCAUGGAGCAAGCAAAAUAUGUUUUAAAAUAUUGAUAAUGAUCAACCAAUCAGAUUUCACAUCCGCUCAAUCGGAUUCCACAAUCGUUUGCAAUCCAGCUAAGACUAUCAUAACCUUACAGUAUAAUACAUCUUCUUUCUCUAAAAACCUAUAUCCAGCAAAAAUAAGUUUAAUACUCAAUUUAAUUUAUUCCAACAAGGGGACCUUCUCCUACGAAAUAUCAUUGUAGAUAAGGAAGAAUCAUAUCAAAUAAGAUUUAUGUUUUUUGCCCCCACUGUUGCAGAUAAAGAAGCUUGGGAAGUCCUGAGAAGAGCCAGUCGAAGCUGAUAUGAUAGUAGAGACUGACAACUUUUGGGAAAAUACAAGGAAAGUUGACUUGGUUCAAGCCUUAUUUAAUGAAAUACGAUUACUUCUUCUGUCAUCAAAAGUACACACGGAUUAACCACACAACAUUAACCUUAAUGCUUUAGGCACAAGAUCAACUUCCAUCAUCUCUGUACGUAGGUUGCUGUGCCCUGUAAAUCUCUAUUGCAGUGGGAUGACGCCGUAGACCUCUAUCGCAUUGAGAAUGGGAGGAAAGCUCGAGCCACUAGUGCUGGUCAAGGUAAACUUGUCGGCGACCUCCGUCCCGGGGGCGGACGUGACGCUUAGGCUUAUAUGAGUUGACUGGAGAUACUCCGGUUUGAAGCUGCUCACUUUGAGUUCGUCGUUCACGAACACAUCAAACAUUCUAUUCUCGGUCUGGCUGAGGGCGUUAAAAUCCGCGAAGUGCAUGUAGACGUAGUAGACGACCCCGGUGCCCACUCCGACGUAGAAGGUCAAAGAAGUGCCAUUUGCCGGCGUCACGGCGGUGGCCAUGACAGCAGCAGGCACUUGGAAGGCAUCUCCUGGGCUCGUCCGAAUCGGCUGCGAGGAAUUUAUGUCAGCCCAUACAGUUGGUGUCACGAACGGCUCCCAGAUCCGAUCAUAGGCAUCAUCUGGAUACCUUAUAUGUUUGCAAACAUAAACAGUUUACUCAGAAUAUGAAUAAUAUUGGGUUAAGGUUUAUUUUAGUUCCUUGACUAAUAGACCUCUUAAGUUUUUAUGAUUUAUUUAUAUUUAAAAUAAUUUAUAUAUUUUUAAAAACAUAACAUAUAAAUUCUUCCGGUGGUGGCAUACACCUUAGAACUGAUGAGUGACAUCCGAUAGAUUCAGCUCGUCAGCUCUAGGGCGCAUGCCACCACGUCGCCCACCACAGCGUUGCCCACUACUGUAAACAAUAUCCGCUUUGAUCCUACUGGAUACCACCAUACCUUACAAGGCACCUUUCCCAUGAAGCACAAUAUUACGAAGAUGGAGACCAGGUGGAAUGAGCUAUUGAGCUGGUCCAUAUAGCUCUCCCCAACUAGCUUAUUGAGGAAGAGAAAGCAACGAAGAUCGUAACGAUCUACGAAGGCGGAGAGAUAGAGGUAGGAUAGAUCAAAGACGGAGGUGAGGGAGAGCUGGACCACCAUAGGCCUGGUAGGUAAGGGUGCAAGAAAGAAUAAAGUGGGAGGCGAUGAGGAGGAAGACGUCUAGGAGAAGAAAGAGGGAUCAGGAGACCAUUGUGUGCCUAGCGUUAGUCUUGUUAACACACAUCCACUUGAGGUAGGAUCGAAAACUCUUAAGCUCGUCAUCAAUAUGAGAGAAGCUAUGUGCAUAUGAUGCUCUACUAAGUAACAAUAGCUCAGUGCUACUGUUGCUGGUCACUUCCACGACGAUGCCUCCUUCCAUCAUUAUUGGAGGUAUCAAUUUUUUUAAAAACUUAAAUUAUAUAUGUUAUUAUAUUAAUAGUUUAUUAUGAGUCAGCACAUAAGUAAACUCUAACGUAAAUUAACUCAGACUUAAAGGGAAAGGCUUAUAUGUUAUUUUUUUUAAUAUUUGAAAUAUUUUAUACAUGAGUGAACCAUAAAGACUUAAAAAGAUCCAUGUGUAAAACUACAAGGGCUAAAAUAAAUCUUAAUUAUAAAUUACAUAUGUCAUUAUAUUAAUGGUUUAUUGUGAAUCAACAUAUCAUGUAAGCAGACUUUAACGUCUGUUAACUCUAACUUGAUGAGAGAGGCUUAUAUAUUAUUUUUUUAAAAAUAUAAAAAAUCCAACACUACACGCCUUGAGAGAGAUAGAUGGGGAUAAGUCAGCUAAAGCUACGGCUAAUUCUAAAAAACUACGAGGAAGAGAGGAGGCAAAACAAUCUUAGAGACCCUUUCUUAGAAAGGACUUAAGAUCUCAGUGCCCAAAUAACUAAGGUCAUAGUUUCUUAUAAGAUUUCAUUCCCUUAAUUUAAUUAUAUAUGUUCCUCAUAGAACAAUCAGGAGCUUACCUU
rnacentral:lncRNA from 1 species